UACGUAGGGAGCAAGCGUUGUCCGGAAUUACUGGGCGUAAAGAGCUCGUAGGUGGUUUGUCGCGUUGUCCGUGAAAACUCACAGCUUAACUGUGGGCGUGCGGGCGAUACGGGCAGACUGGAGUACUGCAGGGGAGACUGGAAUUCCUGGUGUAGCGGUGGAAUGCGCAGAUAUCAGGAGGAACACCGGUGGCGAAGGCGGGUCUCUGGGCAGUAACUGACGCUGAGGAGCGAAAGCGUGGGGAGCGAACAGG
rnacentral:rRNA from 1 species